rnacentral:rRNA from 1 species
AUUGAACGCUGGCGGCAGGCCUAACACAUGCAAGUCGAACGAGGGGCGGACGGGUGAGAAAUGUCUGGAAAACUGCCUGAUGGAGGGGGAUAACUACUGGAAACGGUAGCUAAUACCGCAUACCAUAAGAUGUGACCAGAUGGGAUUAGCUUGUUGGUGGGGUAACGGCUCACCAAGGCGACGAGCCCUAGCUGGUCUGAGAGGAAGACCAGCAACACGGGAACUGAGACACGGUCCAGACUCCUACGGGAGGCAGCAGUGGGGAAUAUUGCGCAAUGGGCGCAAGCCUGAUGCAGCAAUGCCGCGUGUAUGAAGAAGGCCUUCGGGUUGUAAAGUACUUUCAUCGGGGAGGCGUUACCCGCAGAAGAAGCACCGGCUAACUCCGUGCCAGCAGCCGCGGUAAUAC